rnacentral:sRNA from 1 species
GUGCGACGGCGCAGGUCUGCACCAUGGCGGCCCGGCUUGUGAGCCGAUGCGGGGCUGUGCGUGCAGCUCCCCACAGCGGCCCGCUGGCGUCCUGCCGCAGGUGGUCCGGCGCCUCAACAGACACCGUGUAUGACGUGGUGGUGUCGGGUGGAGGCCUGGUGGGCGCUGCCAUGGCCUGUGCCUUGGGAUAUGAUAUUCACUUUCAUGACAAGAAAAUCCUGUUGCUCGAAGCAGGUCCAAAGAAAGUACUGGAGAAAUUGUCAGAAACUUACAGCAACAGGGUCAGCUCCAUUUCCCCUGGCUCUGCAACGCUUCUCAGUAGUGUGGGACGCCUGCUCAGAGGCCCUGAUAAUGUUUGAUAAGGAUAAUUUAGAUGACAUGGGCUAUAUCGUGGAGAAUGAUGUCAUCAUGCAUGCUCUCACUAAGCAGUUGGAGGCUGUGUCUGACCGAGUGACGGUUCUCUACAGGAGCAAAGCCAUUCGCUAUACCUGGCCUUGUCCAUUUCCUAUGGCCGACUCCAGCCCUUGGGUUCAUAUCACCCUAGGUGAUGGCAGCACCUUCCAGACCAAAUUGUUGGUAGUUGAAGAUUGUUAUUUUGCUAGGGGUCUUGUAUAUCUACAUCUUAUCCUAGAUUCUAGGGACUCUGGUUUUAGAUUUAAGCCAUAGUUUAAUUUUAGGCAAAACUUUUGGUUAUGAGGACCAGUACCUAUUCAGGCCAGCUCAAGUGGAGAUGGUCUCAUCGUAAAUCCUGUACAGGGAGCAAUCUCAUGGGCCGUCUUAGGUUGUGAAAUAACAGAUAGCUGGGCCUCACAGGACAGGCACCAGAGUGUCGGGAAUGGAGGCUGUUCUUUCCCUCUGAGGAGUCUGUGGUCAUUGAUCUCUUGCCUCUCAUUUUUCUCCUUUCUGCUCACAAGCUUCCCUUUUUGCAUGGCAGCCAUUCCUAACCCUACAUCAGAACUAUUCAGCUCCAGUGCGUGCCCCAUACUGAAACUUUCCUUAUUGCUCUCUAGUUCAAAUAUCAGGAGGGCCUGGCUGAGUUUAACUCAUGGCUGGCACCUGUUCAGUCAUGUCCAGCUUUGGCUCUUUUGGCUGAGGCUGAUGUGACAGUGCAGGGGCUCCACCUCUAGGGGCUGUGAGUGAAGCAGGCCUGAUGGAAUUAUCCUGCCACACAACAACCAGAGCUGGAGGAAACUUUAGGGGGCAGAGAAAAACUUCUGAAGCAGUUUAUGAAGAGGCUGGAAG